GGAGUGAUCCGGAUGGUCGCUGCCCGGACGAACGUCCGGGGAGAGGAAAGUCCGAACUCCGCAGGGCAUUGCGCUGGGUAACACCCAGUCCCGGUGACGGGAAGGAAAGUGCCACAGAAAACAGACCGCCGGGACAGGAGGCCCCGCCUCCUGUCCCGGUAAGGGUGAAACGGUGGGGUAAGAGCCCACCAGCGCCCCGGGUGACCGGGGCGGCUCGGCAAACCCCGCAAGGAGCAAGGCCAAAUAGGGGAGCGCUCACGGGUGGCCCGCCCGAAAGCUCCCGGGUAGGUCGCUUGGCCCCCGUGCCGGGGACCGACGGCUCCAUGGUCCUUCGGGACGGCGGACGCCGCGGUUCCUGCGGGUACGGGACGCCGCCCCCGCGGGUAACCACGGGGGUAGAGGAAUGACCAUCGGCCGCCGGAAACGGCGGCAACAGGAUUCGGCUUACGGAUCACUCCGGUC
rfam:Acidobacteria bacterium 13_1_40CM_2_68_10 13_1_40cm_2_scaffold_2997, whole genome shotgun sequence.